ensembl:snRNA U6 U6 spliceosomal RNA
AUGCUCGCUUGGGCAGCACAUAUACCAAAAUUGGAAUGGCACAGAGAAGAUUAGCAUGGCCCCUUUGCAAGGAUGACAAUCAAAUUCGUGAAGCAUUCCACAGUUUU